rnacentral:rRNA from 1 species
CCUACGGGUGACAGCAGUGAGGAAUAUUGGUCAAUGGGCGCGAGCCUGAACCAGCCAAGUAGCGUGAAGGAUGACUGCCCUACGGGUCGUAAACUUCUUUUAUAAAGGAAUAAAGUGAGGCACGUGUGCCUUUUUGUAUGUACUUUAUGAAUAAGGAUCGGCUAACUCCGUGCCAGCAGCCGCGGUAAUACGGAGGAUCCGAGCGUUAUCCGGAUUUAUUGGGUUUAAAGGGAGCGUAGAUGGGUUGUUAAGUCAGUUGUGAAAGUUUGCGGCUCAACCGUAAAAUUGCAAUUGAUACUGGCAGUCUUGAGGACAGUUGAGGUAGGUGGAAUUCGUGGUGUAGCGGUGAAAUGCUUAGAUAUCACGAAGAACUCCGAUUGCGAAGGCAGCUUACUAAACUGCCACUGACAUUGAUGCUCGAAAGUGUGGGUAUCAAACAGGAUUAGAUACCCUAGUAGUC